AGAAGAAAUGGUCCUGAAAAUGGAGUAAGAUCCGAAGCCUCUGGAAGGUCACACAGGCUCUCCCACUCAACUCCAAGUAUAUCCAAGCCUGGGUUCACGGCAUGGCUCUAAUUUCUUGGACGGAUGUUGGUGAAUAGCUAGACUGGA
rnacentral:ribozyme from 1 species